rnacentral:rRNA from 1 species
CCUACGGGUGGCUGCAGUGAGGAAUAUUGGUCAAUGGGCGGGAGCCUGAACCAGCCAAGCCGCGUGAAGGAAGCAGGCGCCAGGCGUCGUAAACUUCUUUUGUCGGGGAACAAAGGGCGCCACGCGUGGCGUUGUGAGUGUACCCGAAGCAAAAGCAUCGGCUAACUCCGUGCCAGCAGCCGGGGUAAUACGGAGGAUGCGAGCGUUAUCCGGAUUUAUUGGGUUUAAGGGGUGCGUAGUCGGUCCGGAAAGUCAGCGGUAAAAGCCCGGGGGUCAACCGCGGCGAGCCGGUGAAACGGUCAGACUAGAGACGGCGAGAAGUACGCGGAAUGCGCGGUGUAGCGGUGAAAUGCAUAGAUAUCGCGAAGAACUCCGAUUGCGAAGGCAGCGUACCGGAGCCGGACUGACGCUGAGGCACGAAAGCGUGGGUAUCGAACAGGAUUAGAUACCCGUGUAGUC